rnacentral:rRNA from 1 species
GAUUGAACGCUGGCGGCAGGCCUAACACAUGCAAGUCGAAUGGUAACAGGAAACAGCUUGCUGUUUCGCUGACGAGUGGCGGACGGGUGAGUAAUGUCUGGGAAACUGCCUGAUGGAGGGGGAUAACUACUGGAAACGGUAGCUAAUACCGCAUAACGUCGCAAGACCAAAGAGGGGGACCUUCGGGCCUCUUGCCAUCAGAUGUGCCCAGAUGGGAUUAGCUAGUAGGUGGGGUAACGGCUCACCUAGGCGACGAUCCCUAGCUGGUCUGAGAUGAUGACAAGCCACACUGGAACUGCAACACGGACCAGACUCCUACGGGAGACAGCAGUGGGGAAUAUUGCACAAUGAGCGCAAGCCUGAUGCAGCCCUGCCGCGUGUAUGAAGAAGGCCUUCGGGUUGUAAAGUACUUUCAGCGGGGAGGAAGGGAGUAAAGUUAAUACCUUUGCUCAUUGACGUUACCCGCAGAAGAAGCACCGGCUAACUCCGUG